rfam:Candidatus Buchananbacteria bacterium RIFCSPHIGHO2_01_FTLL_39_14 rifcsphigho2_01_scaffold_10480, whole genome shotgun sequence.
CCUGGUGAUUCUAGCGACAGGGUCACACCCGAUCCCAUCCCGAACUCGGAAGUUAAGCCUGUCAGCACCGAUGAUACUUUUAUAGGGAAAGUAGGUCAUCGCCAGGA